rnacentral:rRNA from 1 species
GACGGAGGGUGCUAGCGUUGUUCGGAAUGACUGGGCGUAAAGGGCGCGUAGGCGGCCGGUUGCGUCGGAUGUGAAAGCCCGGGGCUCAACCCCGGAACGGCAUCCGAUACGGGCUGGCUUGAGACCGAGAGAGGUGAGUGGAAUACCCAGUGUAGAGGUGAAAUUCGUAGAUAUUGGGUGGAACACCGGUGGCGAAAGCGGCUCACUGGCGCGGUUCUGACGCUGAGGCGCGAAAGCGUGGGGAGCAAACAGG